rnacentral:rRNA from 1 species
GAUCAUGGCUCAGGACGAACGCUGGCGGCGCGCCUAACACAUGCAAGUCGAACGAGAGAGAGGGAGCUUGCUUCCUCAAUCGAGUGGCGAACGGGUGAGUAACGCGUGAGGAACCUGCCUCAAAGAGGGGGACAACAGUUGGAAACGACUGCUAAUACCGCAUAAGCCCACGACCCGGCAUCGGGAAGAGGGAAAAGGAGCAAUCCGCUUUGAGAUGGCCUCGCGUCCGAUUAGCUAGUUGGUG